rnacentral:rRNA from 1 species
UACGUAGGGUGCGAGCGUUAAUCGGAAUUACUGGGCGUAAAGCGUGCGCAGGCGGUUUUGUAAGCCAGGUGUGAAAUCCCCGGGCUUAACCUGGGAAUGGCAUUUGGGACUGCAAGGCUGGAGUGCGGCAGAGGAGACUGGAAUUCCUGGUGUAGCAGUGAAAUGCGUAGAUAUCAGGAGGAACACCGAUGGCGAAGGCAGGUCUCUGGGCUGACACUGACGCUCAUGCACGAAAGCGUGGGGAGCAAACAGG